AUUGAACGCUGGCGGCAGGCCUAACACAUGCAAGUCGAGCGGAUGAAGGGAGCUUGCUCCUGGAUUCAGCGGCGGACGGGUGAGUAAUGCCUAGGAAUCUGCCUGGUAGUGGGGGAUAACGUCCGGAAACGGGCGCUAAUACCGCAUACGUCCUGAGGGAGAAAGUGGGGGAUCUUCGGACCUCACGCUAUCAGAUGAGCCUAGGUCGGAUUAGCUAGUUGGUGGGGUAAAGGCCUACAAAGGCGACGAUCCGUAACUGGUCUGAGAGGAUGAUCAGUCACACUGGAACUGAGACACGGUCCAGACUCCUACGGGAGGCAGCAGUGGGGAAUAUUGGACAAUGGGCGAAAGCCUGAUCCAGCCAUGCCGCGUGUGUGGAGAAGGUCUUCGGAUUGUAAAGCACCUUAAGUUGGGAGGAAGGGCAGUAAGUUAAUACCUUGCUGUUUUGACGUUACCAACAGAAUAAGCACCGGCUAACUUCGUG
rnacentral:rRNA from 1 species